GAUGAACGCUGGCGGCGUGCCUAAUACAUGCAAGUCGAGCGAACAGACGAGGAGCUUGCUCCUCUGACGUUAGCGGCGGACGGGUAAGUAACACGUGGAUAACCUACCUAUAAGACUGGGAUAACUUCGGGAAACCGGAGCUAAUACCGGAUAACAUGUUGAACCGCAUGGUUCAACAGUGAAAGACGGUCUUGCUGUCACUUAUAGAUGGAUCCGCGCCGCAUUAGCUAGUUGGUAAGGUAACGGCUUACCAAGGCAACGAUGCGUAGCCGACCUGAGAGGGUGAUCGGCCACACUGGAACUGAGACACGGUCCAGACUCCUACGGGAGGCAGCAGUAGGGAAUCUUCCGCAAUGGGCGAAAGCCUGACGGAGCAACGCCGCGUGAGUGAAGAAGGUCUUCGGAUCGUAAAACUCUGUUAUUAGGGAAGAACAAAUGUGUAAGUAACUAUGCACGUCUUGACGGUACCUAAUCAGAAAGCCACGGCUAACUACGUG
rnacentral:rRNA from 1 species